ACGGCGGGGCGGUUCGAAGGCUCGGACUCCGCCCGGCUCCACCACUAACCGCGCGGCCUUGGGCACGUAGCUUAGGCACUCCGGUGGAACGGUUCCCAGGAUCGUGGCGAGAACGGAGCGAGAUGACAUAUUUAAAGGGUUGGGCGGUGGUGUCGGCACUACAACUCACUUCAGCUUUUACCAUUCCGGCAUUUGGUUUUUUAAUAGAUUUAUGGGCGCUAUCGUGACGUCUGCGGCGCUCGGCGGGAAGCUGGUGUGGAGUCUAGGGGACCCCCGAAGGGCGUGCGACCGCGGACAAGCCGCCCCUCUUCCGGACUUCGGUUUCCCGCCUCAGAAAGAAAAUGGAUAGAUGGGUCUACACCCCCUUCCAACUCCGCACCCAGCAGCGCCCGGCGGGGAAGCGACCCUUCCCGGUGGGGAAACUCCCACCGCCUCAAAAGAUCACCCAGACUUGAACUGAUGGGCUUUGCUGGCUUAAAAUGAUCCAAGAACAAAAGAGGCCCCUCUCAAAUGUUUAUCCAGCAAACAAAAAAUGAGAAACGUUACACAUUUUUCCUCCUCUUCAGGACUGGAUCUAGGAUCUUUGGAUUUUCAUAGGAAGACAGCUCAUGAGCUUCCUCAACCCGCAAACGGACUGCCUGGAGUCUGGUUCAGCCCCCAACUUGUGCACUCGGAAGAGAGCCCGAGAGGCGAAGAUGCGCAGGGAGGGCUCAGGAUCACCCAGCAGAUCUCUCAGAUCUAAAUGGUCAGAAAACCCAGGUUGGAGGUGAAGCUCUAUGGAAAUGAUCACUGGUCCAGACCCCAAACAGCCAACAAGCCUACAGCAGCUGAGAUAAAGGACGAACUUUUUCUAAGACCGUUUGAAAGUUAUACAUUUGUAGAUCAAUUCCAAUUUUAACCCAUGAAAUUUAUUCAUCUUUGAAUUGCCAAAUAGUUUUUUUCCUUUACAAUAACCACACUGCUAAGUAGUCUACCUAAAGUCAAAUCAUCUGUACCUGUCAAGCUAUGUUUAAGAUGGUUGAUUCUUAAGUUCCUGUGUUGGUCCUAGAGGCUACGCUUAAAUCAUUACUCCCUUUUAAGUUUUUUCUUAAUUUUUUUUUAGUUGUUAUGUUUCUUAUUGCAAAAUAAAUAAAUGUUAAUUGUGUAGAAAAUUUAGAUAACAGAUAGGCACUAGAAGAAAAUCAGUUACCCAUCAUUCGACCACCUGAGAAAAUCACUGUUAUGUUUCUGUUUCUUUUUUCUAUUCAGUUACACGUGUGCCUUUUUGUUGAAAUGGAACCACAUUAUACAUAUUACUUAAUAA